AAAUCUAUGUAAUUUUUUUCUCUUUCAGAUUCAAGGAAGCCUUGCUAUGAAUAUAAGCAGUACCAUUGCAUCAGGAAUGGGUCUAGUUUUACAAACAGUGGAUAUGAAAGUUAGCAUUUGAAGCAUGAGAAGUUUAAAGUCUACAUAUGGAAAAUAUGCUUCAGUGAGUGAUUCCUAUGUCAAUAUAUACACCAAGUCAUUAGAAUUAUCAGAAACAUUUGUGGCAUGUUUCUGAGUAACUCUUUUAUUGAAGAUCUUUCACCUGGAAGAGAACUGAUUUUUUUUCCACCGAGAUAAGGAAAUUGCAAUGCCUCCCUUUUCUGACUUAAAGAAAAUCCUGCCGCUGUACAAACUUUUUUUUUUUCCUUUUCUGACAGUGUUGAUGGACUUUUCUGGUUAGUUGAAGGAGAUGUGCUAAUUAUAGGUGUGACAUAAUCUUCAGAGUUCUGUAAGGGUAUCAUUUGGAGGAGGAAUGAGUUAGGCAAUAAAGUGAUUCCUGGAUUUAUCUUGGAGGAUCCAGAGAAGACUAUUUGUGACUCACCUUUGAUAUUUUGUUGUGUUGGGCUAUACUUGGAUUUGGACACAGCUCAUUCGAUUAGAGUAUUGAAUAGGAAUAGGCUUAGAAUUGGAGCAUGGAAGUCCAAGGUGACAUGUUGCACAUCUCCCAAUGCUCAGGUCCUCCCCAUUCCUUUAUUCCACACACAAAUAUGAACAUGAACAUUUUCGGUAAGUAUUUCUGAUCGCCAACCUGAUCCUGUCCCUGAUGGAAGUGUGCACUGCUUUGACUCUCUCUGCUUCUGGAUGCAAGGUGGCAUUCCUCAUCACUCAGGUUGUUGUUCACCUGGCACCUGCCGACAACAAGCAGUCAGAAGUCAUACCUGAACAUGAGUAUGAGGAAGUGACCUAACCACACACCUGUGUUUAAAUAGUUUUAUUUUUUGGGAUACUGCAGCCUUUCUUUUAGGACCUUUUUAUGUCACAUCACUGAGGCUCCAAAUAAGAGCUCUCUGUUUAUGUUUUUUGGAACACAUGUACUGGAAUUGUGAAGAAAAUAAAGGCUCAUGUAUUUUUGCAUUUACUAAUUUUGAUUAUUAAUUUUUCUGUUAUCUUUUAUCCUCAGUUCCUGAUGUGACCAGAAAUAUAGCAUCAUUAUAAAGCAUGUG
rnacentral:lncRNA from 1 species